AUGGCACAUUCAAACAAUUUGGGUCUCAAAAUAAGCACAAAAAUAUAUUGAACCUGCCAUCGGGAGGGGAAAACAGUUGGAAACUAUUGCUAAUACCCCGUAGGCUAAGGAACAAAAUGAGGAAUUCACCCGAGGAGGGGCUCGCAUCUGAUUAACUAGUUGGUAAGGCAAUAGCUACCAAGGCGAUGAUCAGUAGCUGGUCCGAAAAGAUGAUUAGCCACGCUGGGACUGAGACACAACCCAGACUCCUACGGGAGGCAGUAAUGGGAAAUUUUUUGCAAUAGGAAAAAGUCUAACAGAGCAAUGCCAUGUGAAGGUAGAAGGCCCACGAGUCGUAAACUUCUUUUCCUGGAGAAGAAGCAAUGACAGUAUCUGGGGAAUAAGCAUCGGCUAACUCUAUGCCACCAACCACGGUAAUACAGAGGAUGCA
rnacentral:ncRNA from 1 species